GCAAGCGUGCAGCAACCAUCCGUUCAGUGUGAAGAAGGCCUUUUGUUUGUAAAGCAUUUUCAGCGAUGAGGAAGGUGGUGAGCUUAAUACGCUCAUCAAUCAGCGUUACUCGCAGAAGAAGCACCGGCUAACUCCGUGCCAGCAGCCGCGGUAGUACGGAGGAAGCAAGCGCUAAUCGGAAUUACCGGGAGUAAAGCGCACGCAGGCGUUUUGUUUAGUCAGAAGCCAAAUCCCCUGGCUCAACGAGGGAGUAGCUUUUGAUCCGGCCAACAAAGAGUCUCGUAGAGGGGGGUAGAAUUCCAGGUGAAGCGGCGAAAUGCGUAGAGAUAUGGAGGAUCUCCGGUGGCGAAGGCGGCCUCUUGUACGAAGUCUGACGCUCAGGUGCGAAAGCGUGGGGAGCAAACAGGAUUAGAUACCCUGGUAGUCCACGCUGUAAACGAUGUCGAUUUGGAGGUUGUGCCCUUGAGGCGUGGCUUCCGGAGCUAACGCGUAAAUCGACCGCC
rnacentral:rRNA from 1 species